AGAGUUUGAUCCUGGCUCAGAACGAACGCUGGCGCAGCCUACACAUGCAAGUCGAACGAGAAGCCACUUCGGGUGGUGGACAGUGGCAGACGGGUGAGUACGCGUGGGAACGUGCCUUCGGUUCGGGAUAACCCAGGGAACUUGGGCUAAUCGGAUANNNCUUCGGGGGAAAGAUUCAUCGCCGAAAGAUCGGCCCGCGUCGGAUUAGCUUGUUGGUGGGGUAAUGGCCUACCAAGGCGACGAUCCGUAGCUGGUCUGAGAGGAUGACCAGCCACACUGGGACUGAGACACGGCCCAGACUCCCACGGGAGGCAGCAGUGGGGAAUAUUGGACAAUGGGCGCAAGCCUGAUCCAGCCAUGCCGCGUGGGUGAAGAAGGCCUUAGGGUUGUAAACCCCUUUCAGCGGGGAAGAUAAUGACGGUACCCGCAGAAGAAGCCCCGGCUACUCCGUGCCAGCAGCCGCGGUAAUACGGAGGGGGCUAGCGUUGUUCGGAAUUACUGGGCGUAAAGCGCGCGUAGGCGGACCUGCAAGUCAGGGGUGAAAUCCCGAGGCUCAACCUCGGAACUGCCUUUGAUACUGCGGGUCUCGAGUCCGGGAGAGGUGAGUGGAAUUCCUAGUGUAGAGGUGAAAUUCGUAGAUAUUAGGAAGAACACCAGUGGCGAAGGCGGCUCACUGGCCCGGUACUGACGCUGAGGCGCGAAAGCGUGGGGAGCAAACAGGAUUAGAUACCCUAGUAGUCC
rnacentral:rRNA from 1 species